rnacentral:rRNA from 1 species
UACGAAGGGGGCUAGCGUUGCUCGGAAUGACUGGGCGUAAAGGGCGCGUAGGCGGACGGCUUUGUCGGGCGUGAAAUUCCAGGGCUUAACCUUGGGUCUGCGUUCGAGACGGGUUGUCUAGAGUGAGGAAGAGGGUUGUGGAAUUCCCAGUGUAGAGGUGAAAUUCGUAGAUAUUGGGAAGAACACCGGUGGCGAAGGCGGCAACCUGGUCCUUGACUGACGCUGAGGCGCGAAAGCGUGGGGAGCAAACAGG